AGUGAACGCUGGCGGUAGGCCUAACACAUGCAAGUCGAACGGCAGCACAGUAAGAGCUUGCUCUUACGGGUGGCGAGUGGCGGACGGGUGAGGAAUACAUCGGAAUCUACUUUUUCGUGGGGGAUAACGUAGGGAAACUUACGCUAAUACCGCAUACGACCUACGGGUGAAAGCAGGGGAUCUUCGGACCUUGCGCGAUUGAAUGAGCCGAUGUCGGAUUAGCUAGUUGGCGGGGUAAAGGCCCACCAAGGCGACGAUCCGUAGCUGGUCCGAGAGGAUGAUCAGCCACACUGGAACUGAGACACGGUCCAGACUCCUACGGGAGGCAGCAGUGGGGAAUAUUGGACAAUGGGCGCAAGCCUGAUCCAGCCAUACCGCGUGGGUGAAGAAGGCCUUCGGGUUGUAAAGCCCUUUUGUUGGGAAAGAAAGGCAGCAGGUUAAUACCCCGCUGUUCUGACGGUACCCAAAGAAUAAGCACCGGCUAACUUCGUG
rnacentral:rRNA from 1 species